GCGACUCUCACUACUGCGAUUAAGAAAUUGGACAUUUGUUUUCCAAAUAUUUUAUUCAGCUUGCUUGGAGCGACCCAGAAGAUUUCUGGACUUGCGUUAUGCAGAAAAUAAAGAGAAUGCAGCUUAAGAAGGAAUUGCUGUCUGGAAAAAAAUAAUAAGAACACAAUCCAGAUGUUUUAUAGACAUUGGAUCAUAUUGAAAACUAGUCUUAAAUUGAUUUGAAUGGAAUAAUCCAGAAUCUUAUUGUUACAUAUUUGAUGGAGUUUGUGCAAACAAACAAAAAAGCUUAAUAUCCUCAAAGGCAUAUUGGAUGCUGUUUGAAAAACACUGGAGCUUGGACUGAAUUCACUCAUACAUUAACAUAGCAAUGCUAAAAGUCUAAAUGCAUAUUCAGUCAUAUAUUUUUCUAAGAAGUUGCAGAUCGAGCCUUGCCUGAUUCAACCAGAAUCUCAGCUUGCAUUUAUUAAGUGUCUCAACUAUCAGAUAUGCAGUAAUCAAGUGGGAAUACUAACGACUGCCCAUAGGCAAGAGAUUCAAGACACGUGAAUGAUAACAUUCCCCCCUAAAGCAAAACUCCAGCCGCACAGGAGCAACCUAAAAUCAUGCAUUCAAAUUGCAGCCUAAGAUUUCAGCUCAAACACUUGGGAAUGAUUCUUUGGGAUUGCUCUUAAAGUAACUUUUUUUCAAGUUUGCAACCAGUAUUUAGCAUCCUGAGAAUAUUAGUUGAAGGAUUUCAAAUAAGAGGAGGUAGUAUUUCUGGCAAGCCAAAGGCAAAAGGAUCAAAAUCACCUGUGUCAAGAAAAAUUCAACUGAAGAAUGGGGAAAAAAUAGUGAUUUAUUAAGAAAAACUGACAAAUAAUUCUGAGUGAUUAUGCUCCUAGGAUCAGGAUAUUGUUUUAUUCCAAUUGAGACGUUGCAUGCUCAUAUUUCUUGAUGUUCUGACAUUUCAAUUACAUUGAUGUUUUAAAAGUGUUUAGAUUUGCAAUUGUGGUUUAUUUAGCUUCCAUCAGCCUAUUACACACAGAGGGGGGGGGGACAGAUAGAGAGAGAGACAGAGAGAUACACACAAAUCUAUUCUCUCUCCACCACUGAAAGUUCUGAAAUUGCAGCAAGAUAUAAAUUCAGCCAAUCUAUUUGGAGUUGGGAAUUUAAGUAGCAACCUUGCAUUAUGUCAGCCUUCUGGCUGAUCUAAAUAUGUGUUGUCCAUUUCAAAUGUGGGUGGUUUUGUGAAAGCCUUGCAUGAAUUGGCAACAAUUUUCCAGCCUUAGGUAUCUUUACCAGUUUUCCAAAAUAAUGCCAAAGACUCAGAAGAAGAUUCUUUUAAAUCCAUACAUACCUCAUUGUGCUACUAAUCCAGUAAAAGUUAGGUUGAACUUUAAAAUAAUUGUCUCAAAGGGUUGUGGUGGCGACUGUUACAACCAGACUAACAUUUCUUCCUGGGCUGGGUUGCACAGUAUAAUUUUACAGGAUGAUGCAGCAAAAGGAAAACACAGUAAUGCCUAUUGUAAUUCCAUAAAGGGUACUUAAUGACAUAAUCACUAGCACAGUGGUUCUCAACUUUUUUAAUGCCGCGACCCCCAACCGGUCGUAAGUCGAGGACUACUCAACUGAUGCAGCACCGUUUGCAGAAUGGGACUUUUGGCGGGCU